rnacentral:rRNA from 1 species
AGCAGCCGCGGUAAUUCCAGCUCCAAUAGCGUAUAUUAAAGUUGUUGCAGUUAAAAAGCUCGUAGUUGAAUUUCGGGAUCAAUAUUUCGGUCAUGCCGUUGGUAUGCACUGUUAUCAUUGAUUUCUCACCUUCUAAAGAACCGUAAUGCCAUUAAUUUGGUGUUACGUGGAAUUAGGACUGUUACCUUGAAAAAAUUAGAGUGUUUAAAGCAGGCUCACGCUUGCAAUACAUUAGCAUGGAAUAAUGAAAUAGGACAUCCGAUUCUAUUUUGUUGGUUUCUAGGAUCGAUGUAAUGAUUAAUAGGGAUAGUUGGGGGCAUUAGUAUUCAAUUGUCAGAGGUGAAAUUCUUGGAUUUAUUGAAGACUAACUACUGCGAAAGCAUUUGCCAAGGAUGUUUUCAUUAAUCAAGAACGAAAGUUAGGGGAUCGAAGACGAUCAGAUACCGUCGUAGUCUUAACCAUAAACUAUGCCGACUAGGGAUCGGAUGAUGUUAAUUUUUUAAUGACUCA